rnacentral:rRNA from 1 species
ACCUUCGGGUCUAGUGGCGCACGGGUGCGUAACGCGUGGGAAUCUGCCCUUCGGUUCGGAAUAACUCAGGGAAACUUGAGCUAAUACCGGAUAAUGACUUCGGUCCAAAGAUUUAUCGCCGAGGGAUGAGCCCGCGUAGGAUUAGCUUGUUGGUGAGGUAAAAGCUCACCAAGGCGACGAUCCUUAGCUGGUCUGAGAGGAUGAUCAGCCACACUGGGACUGAGACACGGCCCAG